CUUCUCUUCUCUAUUCAUUCAGCACAAGCUCGCUGGGGAUUUCACACUUUAUCACCUCGUCUAACGCUCCGCAGAGCACUGGAAAUCGCCGUCUGCAGUAGAGUAAUCCCGUAGUAAUGAGAUUUGAGGUACAUCAAAGUACCGUGCCUUUGAGGGAGGAAAACAGAUCAGAAAAAUAGGACUGAAAUGCAAAUCCUUCACGAAGAUGACCAUGAGUUUUCUACCUCGAGAACACAAUAUGAAAGUGGUGAAUGAGACAGACAGCGAGAAGCUCCCUCUGCCUCACUAAGCCAAGGAGAUGUGUUGAUGAAAGAUCUACCUGUGGCCAUUCAGUUCAACCCCACAACAUGAUUGUGCCAUUUCUGGAUUGAUAUGUAAAGAGCACCAUUGCAGACCUGAUGUCUAAGGACUUCCAUCGUCUCUCUCUUACACACACACACACACACACACACACACACACACACACACACACACUUAUCAGAU
rnacentral:lncRNA from 1 species